rnacentral:rRNA from 1 species
GACGAACGCUGGCGGCGUGCUUAACACAUGCAAGUCGAACGAGUGGCGAACGGGUGAGUAAUACGUGGGUAACCUGCCCUCUUUUUGGGAUAAGCCUUGGCAACGGGGUCUAAUACCGAAUAAAGGGGGAUGGGCUCGCGGCCUAUCAGCUUGUUGGUGGGGUGAUGGCUUACCAAGGCGGUGACGGGUAGCAGGCCUGAGAGGGUGACCGGCCAAGUUGGGACUGAGCUACUGGCCAGACUCCUACGGGAGGCAGCAGUUUGGGAUAGUGCACAAUGGUCGAAAGCCAGAUGCAGCUACGCCGCGUUGGGGAUGAAGGCUUUCUGGUUGUAAACCUCUUUCGCUAUCGAACCGGUAGGUGGAGAAGAAGCGCCGGCUAACUACGUGCCAGCAGCCGCGGUAAUUC